rnacentral:tRNA from 1 species
UUGGGUAUAGCUUAGUGGCAGAGUGUGUACUUAGCAUGAACAAAGAUCUGGGUUCAAUACCCACCCCCUUAAA